ensembl:lincRNA
UGUUCUUGUUUUUGUCGUCUCACCGUGUUCUUGUUUUUGUCAUCGCACGGUGUUCUUGUUUUUGUCGUCGCAUGGUGUUCUUGUUUUUGUCGUCACACGGUGUUCUUGUUUUUGUCGUCACACGGUGUUCUUGUUUUUGUCGUCGCAUCGUGUUCUUGUUUUUGUCGGGGGGGGGGGGGGGGGGGGGGGGGGGGGGGGGGGGGGGGGGGGGGGGGGGGUGGUCACACGGUGUUCUUGUUUUUGUCGUCGCAUGGUAUUCUUGUUUUUGUCGUCACAUCGUGUUCUUGUUUUUGACGUCGCAUCGUGUUCUUGUUUUUGUCGUCUCAGCAUGUUCUUGUUUUUUGUCGUCGCACGGUGUUCUUGUUUUUGUUGUCGCAUGGUGUUCUUGUUUUUGUCGUCGCAUCAUGUUCUUGCUUUUGUCGUCACAUCGUGUUGUUGUUUUUGUCAUCGCAUCGUGUUCUCGUUUUUGUCGUCUCAUCAUGUUCUUGUUUUUGUCAUUGCACUGUGUUCUUGUUUUUGUCGUCGAACAGUGUUCUUGUUUUGGCGGCGAUUCGUGUUCUUGUUUUUGUCAUCGCAUCCUGUUCUUGUUUUUCUGUCAUCGCAUCAUGUUCUUGUUUGUGUCGUCGCACAGUGUUCUUGUUUUUGUCGUCGCAUCAUGUUCUUCUUUUUGUCAUCGCAUCAUGUUCUUGUUUGUGUCGUCGCACGGUGUUCUUGUUUUGGCGGUGAUUCGUGUUCUUGUUUUUGUCGUCGCAUCAUGUUCUUCUUUUUGUCAUCGCAUCAUGUUCUUGUUUGUGUCGUCGCACAGUGUUCUUGUUUUUGUCGUCGCAUCGUGUUCUUGUUUUUGUCGUGGCAACGUGUUCUUGUUUUUGUCGUCGCACGGUGUUCUUGUUUUUGUCAUCGCAAGGUGUUCUUGUUUUUGUCAUCGCAACGUGUUCUUGUUUUUGUCAUCGCACGGUGUUCUUGUUUUUGUCAUCGCAACGUGUUCUUGUUUUUGUCGUCGCAUCUUGUUCUUGUUUUUGUUGUGGCAACGUGUUCUUGUUUUUGUUAUUGCAAGGUGUUCUUGUUUUUGUCAUCGCAAGGUGUUCUUGUUUUUGUCGUCGCACGGUGUUCUUGUUUUUGUCGUCGCACGGUGUUCUUGUUGUUGCCGUCGCACGGUGUUCUUGUUGUUGCCGUCGCACUGUGUUCUUGUUGUUGCCGUUGCACGGUGUUCUUGUUGUUGCCGUUGCACGGUGUUCUUGUUGCCAUCGCACGGUGUUGUUGUUGUUGUCGUCGUACGGUAUUCUUGUUGUCGUCAUCCGGUGUUCUUGUUGUUGCCGUCGCUCCAUGCUCUUGCCUCCUUCCACUCACCGCCAUUGUGUGUGUGUGUGUGUGUGUGUGUGUGUAUGUGUGUACGUGUUUGUGUGUGUCGGUUGUUAUCUACACUGGCAGAGUUCCUGCCCUCUGCGCGAUCUUGUUCCAACCAUGCAACACGUUUUUUUAAUGCAUACCUUUACUUCGGUGGUGUAUUGUCAACUGACAGCUCUGUCGAGGCAAAAAAAUAAUCCAGAUUAUUUGCAAGAAGCAAAAACAUACUCACUGCUUCUAAUUCAAAACACCUCACUGCACUGGAAAAUGUGGGGACAGGAAUUGUGUAAAUGCUGGAGACUUGUAAUAUCCCCACCCCUACCUGGAGGUGAUGCUACAUUUUGCGUUUUCUUCUUUUGAUCUUGUGAUGUUGAUGUGGGGCAGGCAUGAUGGGCUGAAUGGACUCCACCAGUGUCUAAUUUCCUUGUGUGUAUCGUUGCGUUACUUUUAACAUUGUUCUUAACAAACGGGGACAGGAACAACAGAGGCAUGAUUCUCAUGCGCAAUGUUCCCUGUGUAUCUUUGUGUAGCAUUGUGAAGAACAGGAAAAAAUGGGGAGGGGAGGACAGCAAGUUGGGGGUAGGGAUGCGUUGAGUUGGAAGAGUGAGAUUGAGAUGUUGGAAAGUGGGGGGGGGAUUGAGGACUUUCGGUUGAGAGGGGGGUUGAGUACUUGGGGUUUGUGGCAGUUGGGGGCGGAGGGCAGAGAAGGGAGAAGGUUGGGAUUGAGUGGUCUGAGGCUUUUGAGGUGUGCGUGUGCGCGUGUGCGCGUGCUUGCAUUUUUUGACUUUAUGCCUGAUUGACCUGUUUUUAAAUUCCCAGGUCGUUAAUAUUUGAUUUGAGUGCUUCAGAUCGGAAACACAAAAUGUAAUGAGUGAGUGGAUGGUAUCGAUUGUAUAAGAUGGGGGUGCAUGUUGGGUCCAUAAAGAAGUUUGAGUGGACAGUAGUUUCUUCUUGUUUUCACAUGUGAUGUAAAUAUUCUUUCCCUUUGCCUUCUUCACAAUGUUCCACCCUUAGAAUACAAUAAAACUUACACUUAUUAGUUUUGAUAGUUUGUGGUGCUCUGAAGUUCAUUAUAAUAUCAGAAUCCACUUUACACAACAACAAAAAUGCAUCUUUUGACAUCGUUAGCUACUUCCUUUGGUAAUCCCUCCUUCCACUGAACACGACCCCCUGAAAUGAACCCCCCCUCCUGACCAGCAUCUGCGAACCACUCACCUUGCAUUGCUCACAAUAAUCGACCAUCCUCCACUCUGCUCAUGAAGGGUGGUUCUUGAUAAAGUGCUCAGGUAGAUUGUAGGUGUGGAAGUUGUCUGAUUCAUGUGCACAUGCAGCAUGAUCAAGCAUCUCAUUCAAAGCACAAAACUCAAAACUGCCUGAGAAGAGGUGCCCUGGG